rnacentral:rRNA from 1 species
UACAGAGGGUGCGAGCGUUGCUCGGAAUCACUGGGCGUAAAGGGUGCGUAGGCGGGUUUUUAAGUCAGGGGUGAAAUCCUGGAGCUCAACUCCAGAACUGCCUUUGAUACUGAAAAUCUUGAGUCCGGGAGAGGUGAGUGGAACUGCGAGUGUAGAGGUGAAAUUCGUAGAUAUUCGCAAGAACACCAGUGGCGAAGGCGGCUCACUAGCCCGGUACUGACGCUGAGGCACGAAAGCGUGGGGAGCAAACAGG